rnacentral:rRNA from 1 species
AUUGAACGCUGGCGGCAUGCUUUACACAUGCAAGUCGAACGGCAGCGCGGGCUUCGGCCUGGCGGCGAGUGGCGAACGGGUGAGUAAUGCAUCGGAACGUGCCCAGUAGUGGGGGAUAGCCCGGCGAAAGCCGGAUUAAUACCGCAUACGACCUGAGGGUGAAAUCGGGGGACCGAAAGGCCUCGCGCUAUUGGAGCGGCCGAUGUCGGAUUAGCUAGUUGGUGGGGUAAAGGCUUACCAAGGCGACGAUCCGUAGCUGGUCUGAGAGGACGACCAGCCACACUGGGACUGAGACACGGCCCAGACUCCUACGGGAGGCAGCAGUGGGGAAUUUUGGACAAUGGGGGCAACCCUGAUCCAGACAUGCCGCGUGCGUGAAGAAGGCCUUCGGGUUGUACACCGCUUUUGUUCGGGAAGAAAUCCUCUGGGCUAAUACCCCGGGGGGAUGACGGUACCGGAAGAAUAAGCACCGGCUAACUACGUG